rnacentral:rRNA from 1 species
UACGGAGGAUCCGAGCGUUGUCCGGAUUUAUUGGGUUUAAAGGGUGCGCAGGCGGGAGAUUAAGUCGGCGGUGAAAUUUUGCAGCUCAACUGUAAAAGUGCCUUCGAAACUGGUUUCCUUGAGUGUAGAUGAAGUAGGCGGAAUUUGUGGUGUAGCGGUGAAAUGCUUAGAUAUCACGAGGAACUCCGAUUGCGCAGGCAGCUUACUAAACUACUACUGACGCUCAGGCACGAAGGCGUGGGGAUCAAACAGGAUUAGAUACCCUGGUAGU